rnacentral:rRNA from 1 species
AGUGAACGCUGGCGGUAGGCCUAACACAUGCAAGUCGAACGGCAGCACAGUAAGAGCUUGCUCUUACGGGUGGCGAGUGGCGGACGGUUGAGGAAUACAUCGGAAUCUACUUUUUCGUGGGGGAUAACGUAGGGAAACUUACGCUAAUACCGCAUACGACCUACGGGUGAAAGCAGGGGAUCUUCGGACCUUGCGCGAUUGAAUGAGCGGAUGUCGGAUUAGCUAGUUGGCGGGGUAAAGGCCCACCAAGGCGACGAUCCGUAGCUGGUCUGAGAGGAUGAUCAGCCACACUGGAACUGAGACACGGUCCAGACUCCUACGGGAGGCAGCAGUGGGGAAUAUUGGACAAUGGGCGCAAGCCUGAUCCAGCCAUACCGCGUGUGUGAAGAAGGCCUUCGGGUUGUAAAGCCCUUUUGUUUGGAAAGAAAAGCAGCAGGUUAAUACCUCGCUGUUCUGACGGUACCCAAAGAAUAAGCACCGGCUAACUUCGUG